rnacentral:lncRNA from 1 species
GUGGAGAGACGUGCACACGAGCAGGUGCUGAUUUCCUGUGUGUGUGUUAAACAGUGGGCGAGCGUGACGGCCACCACAGGUUAUCACUCAACGUUCCAGGAUCAGAGGAGAAGAACAUGGAGAAGGGCAUGUUCAGAACAAAGAGUCUGAAAUUCUUUAAGAACAAACCAAAGUGUAAGUGCACUUCAACGUUGACUCCUUUAGUGAAUGAAUGAAAGAAUGAAUGAAUGAAUCUCACGUGUUCACAUAGACCAUUCCUCACCUUCACCACCUUCCAGCCGCUCUGCAUCCCUCCCUGAGUCCUCCCGGGCGUCGUUACCGGUGUUCAACCUGGGAUUCGGGAAUCGUUACCCAAAGCCCAAAGGUCCGAGGGUUUACCCGGAGAGCUGGGUUUGAAGGAAGCAGAAGAACUUUACAGUUGUUCCAGCUUCGUUACCUACACGUCAACAACUGUUGAAUUAAAAGCAUAAACAUCCUCAAAUUUAGCUACAAGACAAGUUAAAUGUGUUAAAUCUUUGAAUUCACUCGUCUGCAACACUUUGACAACUGUUACAAACGUUUGUGCCACCUGUGAAUAUUAAAAACUUGAUUAAAAUGUGUUUUAAACUCCAUACAAUUAGAAAUAAACUGGGAAAUAAUAGAAACA